rnacentral:lncRNA from 1 species
GCUUCACAAAACCAAUACCAAGGCAUUAGAGAAAAACACAUCUUACUACAUCUGUCUACAAGAUGAACACAACACAUAUUGCUUAGUCUUUGCACAAUUAAUUCUGUCAAAAGUCCUCUUAUGUCUAAGUGUCAUUGUGUUGUGGAAGGAAGGAAGAUGAAGAGUUAACUGAAGAUUCCCUCAGCAUGCCAAAACUAGGUAAGAAAUGAGAACUCCAAAGUAGGCAUUUUGGUGAUUCAAAGCCACCUUUCUCCAUACAGUUCAUUUGCUGUAGACACGAGUUUGCAGAAGGGAACAGACAAAUUCCUGGCCUUCAGAUUUUCAGAUGAAGCUGGAGCCAUAACAUAAUACACACAAACACAAGCCAGAAUUUUGCAUGUAAGUUUUGAUGCCAGAUCUGGGUUCAAAUGGCAUUGAACUCCAGAUAAAAACCAAUAAACACACAAAUCUGUAGUCACAAGAACACAGAUGGUAUUGUCCAUAUGUUUUUAUGGCAUACACAGGAGAAAAUCCAAUAAUGUAAUAUGCAUUUUAUGCUCUUCAUUGAUACUAUAAUUAAAUUCUCUGAGAAUGCACUUGACAGCUUAUAAGAGAAGGAAACAUUGGUAGCUUGGUAGUAUAGGCUUAUUUAACAAGCAAAGGAAGUGAGAAAUACAGAGAUUUACAGAAUUUAUGUGAUGACAGAGCAAAUCUUAACCACAGCAUGUUAACCUAUAAACACUCUGUAAAGGCUAAGGAAACAGGAUGAAUUGCGGUAUAUAACAUUUCAUUUUGGGGUGGCUGGAACAGCUUAUUGAAUGGGCCCAAGGAAAAAUGACCAGGUCCAGACUUGCGAGGUCAAGAAGAGAGAUUUUGCAUGCCCUGAUUUCCAACUACCUGAGCCAGUGACCAACAGCAAACAAGCAGAUGGACAUGCACUUCUCCACCUCUCCUGAGGACCCAAAGGUUACUCCCCACUCACCAUAAGGUAUUUCACUUCCAUCCACACUCAACAAGAAAAGACAAGUCCAGCACACCCAGCUUUGAAAGCUCUUCCCAGACUGCUGCCUCUACGAUGUCUCCCAGCCACUUUUGGUGCCACAGCAACCAGAUGAUGACUGUUGGGCCAUUUCGCUACUCUACCAAUCACCUUGUGAGGCACCCCACGGUCAAAACCAGUAUUUCACUUGAUAGUAUACAUCCUUGAUACUUCAGCUUUAUCAGAUCCAUCCAUCAGAGGUUAUUUGCACAUCCCCC